rnacentral:lncRNA from 1 species
CGAACGUUUCUAAGGCCCGCUGGACACUGUGGCAAGCAGGGACCCUGCGGAGUGACACAGUAUCAUAAGGGCAAGGAUUCUGAGUGCCAUGGAAAACUGUGUAAGGACAGGAAACAGAGUGGCUACAGAGGUCAUACUAAGCCUGCUUCUGCAAAACGGUUGAAAUGACAAAGACGGCUGUGCUGAGACUUGAGUGUGCUAAGCCCAGUGUGGAGCUAAGAGAAGGCCAGCUAGUGAGAAAUGUAAACUUUUUAACUAGGAGUCGAUAAGAAGAGAGAAAGGGCCAUGUGACUCAG